GACGAACGCUGGCGGCGUGCUUAACACAUGCAAGUCGAACGCUGAAGCUCAGCUUGCUGGGUGGAUGAGUGGCGAACGGGUGAGUAACACGUGAGUAACCUGCCCUCUUCUUUGGGAUAACGCCCGGAAACGGGUGCUAAUACUGGAUAUUCACUGAUUCUCGCAUGGGGGUUGGUGGAAAGGUUUUUUCUGGUGGGGGAUGGGCUCGCGGCCUAUCAGCUUGUUGGUGGGGUGAUGGCCUACCAAGGCUUUGACGGGUAGCCGGCCUGAGAGGGUGACCGGUCACAUUGGGACUGAGAUACGGACCAGACUCCUACGGGAGGCAGCAGUGGGGAAUAUUGCACAAUGGGCGAAAGCCUGAUGCAGCGACGCCGCGUGAGGGAUGGAGGCCUUCGGGUUGUAAACCUCUUUCGCUCAUGGUCAAGCCGCAGCUUUGGGUUGUGGUGAGGGUAGUGGGUAAAGAAGCGCCGGCUAACUACGUG
rnacentral:rRNA from 1 species